AGUGAACGCUGGCGGUAGGCCUAACACAUGCAAGUCGAACGGCAGCACAGUAAGAGCUUGCUCUUACGGGUGGCGAGUGGCGGACGGGUGAGGAAUACAUCGGAAUCUACUUUUUCGUGGGGGAUAACGUAGGGAAACUUACGCUAAUACCGCAUACGACCUACGGGUGAAAGCAGGGGAUCUUCGGACCUUGCGCGAUUCAAUGAGCCGAUGUCGGAUUAGCUAGUUGGCGGGGUAAAGGCCCACCAAGGCGACGAUCCGUAGCUGGUCUGAGAGGAUGAUCAGCCACACUGGAACUGAGACACGGUCCAGACUCCUACGGGAGGCAGCAGUGGGGAAUAUUCGACAAUGGGCGCAAGCCUGAUCCAGCCAUACCGCGUGGGUGAAGAAGGCCUUCGGGUUGUAAAGCCCUUUUGUUGGGAAAGAAAAGCAGCAGGUUAAUACCCCGCUGUUCUGACGGUACCCAAAGAAUAAGCACCGGCUAACUUCGUG
rnacentral:rRNA from 1 species